UAUCUUUUAUCCCCCUCUCUCCUUAUCCCUUCGCACCCACGCCUAGCGAUCGAAGCCGCCGCAAGUCACCGCCGCUAGCCUGGAGGCCUCAUGCCGCCACCGCUCGCCCCUUUCUCUGUAGGUCACCCACGCACCUGGGACCCGGGGCCGUUUCCUCCUCCCCACCAGGCUCGAGGAGGCCCGAGGAGGUGACCAUGAGGAGCGCGCAGCCGCCGGAGCCAUGGGUAGAUCCAGACGGAACCGUCGGUAACCAUCCCUCCUUCCGGCGGAGAUGAAGAAUUGAAGAGGCUUGAGGAGAAUGGGCGCAUGGGCCGUGCGCGUCACCCGCGCUAGGAGCCACCGGUCCUCAUCAUCUGCUAGGAUCCACGAGGAAUCGAUCCAUAUAAUGUUUGCGGGAAGCUCGGUUAGUGUUGAUGCCUCAAGGGUUUAUGCAUAUCAAUUCCAUGUUGCUUAAAGCCACUGUAACCAUGGCUACUGGUUUCCAGGUAUAUGUUUAUGCAGUCAUAACGCGCUUGUUGACAACUCGUAUGGUAUGUUUAUAUUAUUUAUAACUUCUCCAUGGAAUGUCUACUGUUAAAAAACAUCUUGCAGGUACUUUAGUUAGGUACUAGAAAGCACAUACACACGCACAUGCCCAGCACAACCACAAGCACACACAUACAUCACAACACAUAUGUUCCACACAUACAUCACAUGCUUUUGACUUCUCAAUAGUAUGAUGAUGCAUUGCUCUGCCACUCUAAUUUUUUUGCACUGGGGCACUUUGCAUGUGCUUGCUCCUGUAGUUGUUCUGAUCUGUUCAAGUAAUGUCCAGAUACAACAAGUUAGUCUUGAUUUGUACAAGAACUAAGUAGAGUUGUCUCAACUCUUUUUUUUGUGGUUGUUUACCACACGUCCGCCACGUGGUGAUUGUUGAAACUCUAAAUACAAAUAGCGCAACAGUUUACUACUAUGUAGUAUUAAAUGGGAUUAUCUAGGCAAGCAGACACAACAUGGUUGAUUGUGGGCUGCCCACCCGUUUAACCAACGAUGGACCUAGGGGGCCAGCAGGGGCCACGGCAAAUCCUAUAUCCCUCUCCCAAACAGCAUCCGGUGAAAUAGAGUAAAUGCACUGCUCACAGAAGAUCCCAUUGACUAGUGAAAAGUAAAUAACCUUUUUGACUUUGCACUUCAAACACAAGGAUGUAGGAUGAGGCAAAGUACGCAGGUAACAUGAAAAAUACAUCAAAACAAGGCAAUUUUUGGUGUUGUAAUUUAUGGAUACCUCUUGGUUACUUUGUUUCAAAAUAAAUAAUUAAAUUUUGGCUGGCAUUUUCACUAAUGUAGCACCCAAAAAACUAAUCUUUGAUGGAUUGAGUACAACAGAAGUUCUAUGAAGUUUGAUUGGUAAUUGUUCGUUCGUCAUCAUAUAAUUCAACAUUUUGCUCUUGGGCCAUCUAUGUGAUAUGUCUAUGUUAUCAACUCUUUAUUAGUAAAAAUGGUACCUAUUUUGCCAUAUCCAUGGUCAAUUCCUAUAUUUUUUCCUUGGAAAAAAUCCUACUUAUUCCAUACAACAUGUUGCAUUUUAGAAUUUUGUUCAAUGUUCGGCCCCCCUUAUGUAUAAUUCCUGGCUCCGCCGUUGCGCCUAACACAUGCAUGCAGGUGUGGGCAUCCCUUUAUUAGUCCCACUUGCAGUCUGAAUGUGUAUCCCAAAGAAAGUGAAUGGUCAUGAUAGUCUUCCUGAACUACGACUAUGUGUAUCAAUUGAAGUAAUGUUCAUGCAAAUCCUAUAAUUAUUGUUGUUGAAUAAUAAUAUUGAUCAUAAUAUAGGUUGCAUCCAAAGUAGUUUUAAAGAUUUUAACAUAUCCAAACCAGCGAAAUGUUGCAUAUGCUACUAUUCAGAGUAUUGAUCUAGAAACUAAGGUUGGUGAUAUUUAGUUAGGUGCCGAAUUUGCACUUGUGUGCAUAGAUGGACCUUUUCUGGAUAAUGAGGAGUUAGUAAGGUAAGUUUCUGAUUGCAAGAGAAUUGGUGAUGCUUUUGCUUCAGGAUACUUAAUUGUCCAACCUCCAGCUUUUGUAAGUCGGAGUCUUUUCUUCCAUAUUCCACCAUUAUAUUUGUAUGCAUUUGAUCACAUAACUGUAAGGUCCAUUUUCCUUUUACAGAUUCAAAAGAAGCAUAAUGGAGUUGCAGCUGAACUGUUCUUUGGUUGGAUGAAGAAUUAAAUGUAAUUAGAAGGUUUUACUUAGCAAUAAUUGUAGUUUGCAUUGAUAGAUUGAAAAAUGUAACACCAUUCAGAAGAUCUUUUUCUUUGGUCGAAUUGAUGCAAAUGCUAUGGUGUAAUAUUCUCAAUAGAUGUGUUCUCUAUAGUAAAAAAUAUAUGAAUGAUAUGUUGUCUAGCCAAUAACAUUGGUAUGUAUUUAUUGUAAUGCAUAUGUAUCCUACACUCUUGUAUAUUCAUAAUAAAUACCUUGAUAUUUUCAAUU